rnacentral:rRNA from 1 species
UUGGAGGGCAAGUCUGGUGCCAGCAGCCGCGGUAAUUCCAGCUCCAAUAGCGUAUAUUAAAGUUGUUGCAGUUAAAAAGCUCGUAGUUGAAUUUCGGGGUUCUACCGUUGGUCGGGCAAUUGUCUGUACUGGCGUGUGGAAUUUCUACCUUCUGGGGAACCAUUAUGUUAUUAAUUUAGCGUGGUGGGAAACCAGGACCUUUACCUUGAAAAAAUUAGAGUGUUCAAAGCAGGCUUAUGUCUGAAUACAUUAGCAUGGAAUAAUAAAAUAGGACGGUGGUCCUGUUUUGUUGGUUUCUGAAUCACCGUAAUGAUUAAUAGGGAUAGUUGGGGGCAUUAGUAUUCAAUUGUCAGAGGUGAAAUUCUUGGAUUUAUUGAAGACUAACUUCUGCGAAAGCAUUUGCCAAGGAUGUUUUCAUUAAUCAAGAACGAAAGUUAGGGGAUCGAAGACGAUCAGAUACCGUCGUAGUCUUAACCAUAAACUAUGCCGACUAGGGAUCGGACGAUGUUAAUUUUUCUUGACUCGUUCGGCGCCUUACGGGAAACCAAAGUGUUUGGGUUCAAUCACUAGUGAAUUCGCGGCUCCCAAACAGUCGACACCAUGAAGAGCUACCACUG